UACGGAGGGUGCGAGCGUUAUCCGGAAUCACUGGGCGUAAAGGGCGCGUAGGCGGUUUGUUAAGUCUGAUGUUAAAGACUGGGGCUCAACCCCGGCAUGGCGUUGGAUACUGGCAGGCUUGACGGUUGGAGAGGCGAGUGGAAUUGCCAGUGUAGCGGUGGAAUGCGUAGAUACAGGUAGGAACACCUAUUGCGAAGGCAGCUCGCUGGACAAUUCGUGACGCUGAGGCGCGAAAGUGUGGGGAGCAAACCGGAUUAGAUACCCGGGUA
rnacentral:rRNA from 1 species